rnacentral:rRNA from 1 species
UAAGACAGAGGGUGCAAACGUUGUUCGGAAUUACUGGGCGUAAAGCGCGUGUAGGCUGCCCCGCAAGUCGGAUGUGAAAGCCCUGGGCUCAACCUAGGAAGUGCAUUCGAAACUGCGGGGCUGGAGUCCUGGAGAGGAAGGCGGAAUUCUCGGUGUAGAGGUGAAAUUCGUAGAUAUCGAGAGGAACACCGGUGGCGAAGGCGGCCUUCUGGACAGUGACUGACGCUGAGACGCGAAAGCGUGGGGAGCAAACAGGAUUAGAUACCCUGGUAGUCCACGCCGUAAACGAUGGGUGCUAGGUGUCGCGGGCUUUGACCCCUGCGGUGCCGUAGCUAACGCAUUAAGCACCCCGCCUGGGGAGUACGGCCGCAAGGCUA